rnacentral:rRNA from 1 species
CCUACGGGAGGCAGCAGUGGGGAAUAUUGCACAAUGGGGGAAACCCUGAUGCAGCGACGCCGCGUGAGUGAAGCAGUAUUUCGGUAUGUAAAGCUCUAUCAGCAGGGAAGAAGCAAGACGGUACCUGACUACGAAGCCCCGGCUAACUACGUGCCAGCAGCCGCGGUAAUACGUAGGGGGCAAGCGUUAUCCGGAUUUACUGGGUGUAACGGGAGCGUAGACGGCUGUGCAAGUCUGAAGUGAAAGCCCAGGGCGCAACCCUGGGACUGCUUUGGAAACUGUGGAGCUAGAGUGCGGGAGAGGGAAGUGGAAUUCCUAGUGUAGCGGUGAAAUGCGUAGAUAUUAGGAGGAACACCAGUGGCGAAGGCGGCUUACUGGACAGUAACUGACGUGGAGGCUCGAAAGCGUGGGGAGCAAACAGGAUUAGAUACCCCGGUAGUC